rnacentral:rRNA from 1 species
UACGUAGGCAGCGAGCGUUGUUCGGAAUUACUGGGCGUAAAGAGUGUGUAGGCGGUGCUCCCAGUCUGUUGUGAAAUCUCCCGGCUUAACUGGGAGGGUGCAGCGGAAACUAGAGUGCUAGAGGGUGGGAGAGGUAAGCGGAAUUCCUGGUGUAGCGGUGAAAUGCGUAGAUAUCAGGAGGAACACCUGUGGUGUAGACAGCUUACUGGACCACUUCUGACGCUGAGACACGAAAGCGUGGGUAGCAACCAGG